rnacentral:ncRNA from 1 species
UUCUGCUCAGAGCAAACCCUGGGAAACUGGGGGACGCAGAGCCACGGGACUAAAUCGGGAAAUCCCUGUAUGUCAGCCGAGCCGCCAGA